UGGGGAAUCUUGGACAAUGGGGGCAACCCUGAUCCAGCCAUGCCGCGUGAGUGAUGAAGGCCUUAGGGUCGUAAAGCUCUUUCGCCUGUGAAGAUAAUGACGGUAGCAGGUAAAGAAACCCCGGCUAACUCCGUGCCAGCAGCCGCGGUAAUACGGAGGGGGUUAGCGUUGUUCGGAAUUACUGGGCGUAAAGCGCACGUAGGCGGACCAGAAAGUUGGGGGUGAAAUCCCGGGGGCUCAACCCCGGAACUGCCUCCAAAACUAUUGGUCUAGAGUUCGAGAGAGGUGAGUGGAAUUCCAAGUGUAGAGGUGAAAUUCGUAGAUAUUUGGAGGAACACCAGUGGCGAAGGCGGCUCACUGGCUCGAUACUGACGCUGAGGUGCGAAAAGUGUGGGGAGCAAAACAGGAUUAGAUACCCUGGUAGUCCACACCGUAAAACGAUGAAUGCCAGUCGUCGGGUAGCAUGCUAUUCGGUGACACACCUAACGGAUUAAGCAUUCCGCCUGGGGAGUACGGUCGCAAGGCUGAAACUCAAAUGAAUUGAC
rnacentral:rRNA from 1 species